GACGAACGCUGGCGGCGUGCUUAACACAUGCAAGUCGAACGGUAAGGCCCUUCGGGGUACACGAGUGGCGAACGGGUGAGUAACACGUGGGUGAUCUGCCCUGCACUUCGGGAUAAGCCUGGGAAACUGGGUCUAAUACCGGAUAGGACCACUGCCUGCAUGGGUGGUGGUGGAAAGCUUUUGCGGUGUGGGAUGGGCCCGCGGCCUAUCAGCUUGUUGGGGGGGUGAUGGCCUACCCAGGCGACGACGGGUAGCCGGCCUGGGAGGGGGACCGGCCACACUGGGACUGGGAGACGGCCCAGACUCCUACGGGAGGCAGCAGUGGGGAAUGUUGCACAAUGGGCGCAAGCCUGAUGCAGCGACGCCGCGUGAGGGAUGACGGCCUUCGGGUUGUAAACCUCUUUCAGCACCGACGAAGCGCAAGUGACGGUAGGUGCAGAAGAAGGACCGGCCAACUACGUGCCAGCCGCCGCGGUAACAC
rnacentral:rRNA from 1 species